CUUGGUCAUUUAGAGGAAGUAAAAGUCGUAACAAGGUUUCCGUAGGUGAACCUGCGGAAGGAUCAUUAGAGAUGUGUGCAAGCACUUUUCCCUUCAUACACCUGUGCACUGUGGUCUCUGGACCUACAAACUUGAAGUCAUGAAUGUCUUUUAUUAUAACAAAUAAAACUUUCAACAACGGAUCUCUUGGCUCUCGCAUCGAUGAAGAACGCAGCGAAAUGCGAUAAGUAAUGUGAAUUGCAGAAUUCAGUGAAUCAUCGAAUCUUUGAACGCAUCUUGCGCCACUUGUGACAUGUCUGUUUGAGUACCAAUUCUUUCUGCAGCAAUGCGAUUUGAUUCGGCAUCCGCCCAAUCUAAACGAAUAUCUAUACACAGGGCAGCCUGCGGAGUUAGAGAUUUAACGUCUUGUUCGCAGCGGCUCUCGAUUCUGGUCUCAAAUCAGGCAAGACUACCCGCUGAACUUAAGCAUAUCAAUAAGCGGAGGA
rnacentral:rRNA from 1 species